ensembl:lncRNA
CCUAGCGGUUAGAGCGUAGGGGCGGCAGGUAGCCUAGUGGUUAGAGCGUAGGGACGGCAGGUAGCCUAGUGGUUAGAGCGUAGGGCGGCAGGGUAGCCUAGUGGUUAGAGCGUAGGGACGGCAGGUAGCCUAGUGGUUAGAGCGUAGGGGCGGCAGGGUAGCCUAGUGGUUAGAGCGUAGGGGCGGCAGGUAGCCUAGUGGUUUGUGCGUAGGGGUGGCAGGGUAGCCUAGUGGUUAGAGCGUAGGGGCGGCAGGUAGCCUAGUGGUUAGAGCGUAGGGGCGGCAGGUAGCCUAGUGGUUAGAGCGUAGGGGCAGCAGGGUAGCCUAGUGGUUAGAGUGUAGGGGUGGUAGGUAGCCUAGUGGUUAGAGCGUAGGGGCGGCAGGUAGCCUAGUGGUUAGAAUGUAGGGGAGGCAGGUAGCCUAGUGGUUAGAAUGUAGGGGCGGCAGGGUAGCCUAGUGGUUAGAGCGUAGGGACGGCAGGUAGCCUAGUGGUUAGAGUGUAGGGGCGGCAGGUAGCCUAGUGGUUAGAGCGUAGGGACAGCAGGUAGCCUAGUGGUUAGAGUGUAGGGA